GGAAGUGGAGGGCAUGCUGGGGAAAAGGGUAACACAGGCCAAGUGGUGAAGGUGAGAGGGUUUCUGGAGCCUUGAUGAGAGGCAGUGGGAAUUAGGAAAUGAGGAUGGAGAGGUGCUCACGGCCUAUCACAGAGGCUCAGAUGUCACAUAAGAUGUUUGUCCUUCGUGAAUAGUCUAGAGAAAACUUGGGCUGUUAACCAGGGAAGUGACAAGGUCAGAUUUUAGCUAAAUUGCUCUGCCUGCUGUGCUAACAGUGGCUUGGGGCAGAAUCUCUUUUUAUGAGGUCUGUUGAGUCUGGGUUGAAAGCCUAGCCCAGAGACCUGCAAGUGGACAUGAUGGCCUCUGGAAUAAUCACCCUAGCCAAGGCUUAGUGAAUGCUUCCUUGUACUGGGCCAUGUUCGGUGUGCUCUAUAUGGAGUAAUUCACUUCACCCUCUGAGCAGCCCAACCCUGUGUUGUGGACAUUUUUUUCACCCCAUUUUAUGGUUAGGUAACUGCAAAUAGUAGUCCCUGGGUGGUGUAAUCGGUUAAGCUUGACUUGACUACUAAUCAGAAGGUUAGAGUUCAAACCCACCUAGAUGUGCCUCAGAAGAAAGGCCUGGCUAUCUGCUUCUGAAAGGUCAUAGCCUUGAAAUCCCUAGGGUGCGCAGUUCUGUUCUGCACAUGUGGGGAUCGUGAGUCCGAACUGAAGGCAAGUGGCUUGGUUUAAGGUCCCUGCAUGGUGUAAAUUGUUUGCGCUUGACUACUAACCUAAAGGUUAGCGGUUCAAAACCACCUGGUGGACUUUUGGGAGAAAGUCCUGGCAAUCUGCUUCUAUAAAGAUUACAGCUAAGAAAACCCUACGGAGCAGUUCUACUCUGUAACACAUAGGGUCGUCAUGAGUUGGAAUUCAAUUGACUGCAAGGAGAGGUGGGAAGCGGCAUGUGGGAAAGGGGGUAGGGGUGAGGGGAAGGGGUGUUUAGUUUUUUGUUUAACGGCAUAGAAACAGGUUAAAUUACACCUCUAAGUUGCAGAGCUGGUAAGGGGCUAGCUGGCAUUCAAAUACAGGCUGCGCAGCUCUGGAAUUAGCCCAUGUUCCCUCUCCAUCCUGCCCCUGUGGGAUCUGUUUCCCUCAGGAUGGGUUUCACAGGGGCAAUAUUUUGCACUGACAUCCUGCUUCAAGUUUACAAAAUCCUUCAUAGAUUACCUCAUUUCAUCCUUGCAACAACAGCUCUGUGAGCUAGGUAUUAUUAUUCACAGCUGAGGAAACCCACCAAAGGAAAUACAAUGAUUUGUCAAAGGUCACAAGUUAGGUGGCAGAGUUCCAACUCAGACUGACGUGUUCUGACUCAGUCCAGUGCUCAGGUCUCAAGUUCAUCAGCCAGUAGACAUUGCAGGCAGCCUCACACUAAACAAAUCAUGUGGUUCAAUGGCCAGGGCGCUUUUCACUACUACUCAGCUGCCUCCUCUCUAGGAAAACGGUUUUCUGAACUGAAGGAAAGAGCUUCAGAGAAAUAUGAGUUGGCAUCGAUUUCCUAGAGUUGGGCAAUGGCUUCCGCCAUCUGGACAAGGUGACGUCAGUUGUCUGGAUUUCUGCCAGGGUUCUCUGGGCCAGGAAACAGACUUCCGGCUGCAUUCUGAGAGGUCCCGGCCUCCUGCACAGGGGACAUCUCAACUGAAAGAAGAAGGGAAGAAUGGAUAUAGUAUUUCUGCAAGAUGGCUGUUGGCUGUACUGCCUGAAUGCCCGGAGCUCAGAAAGCAUGUGUGAAGCUCUUCACCAGGGCCCUCUGCUUUUCACUUUAUUUACUCUUGUCUACUUCAGAUGCCUUUAAGAAGCCAACCUGGAAAGAUACCUUUCUUUUCUCUGGAACCCACAGCACUUAGUUUCUGUGGUUUUUGUGACGGUUAGUAAACUCUGCCUGCUACGUGCUUGUGUCACCUUUUAUUCCUUACAUUACCCUUUACAUUCUUUACGCCAGAAACUGCCCUGUACUUAGCCCUGCCCUUGGCACAUUGUAUUUGAUUGAUAUGUGUUCAUUGACUUCAACUGGAAAUUCCAGUCUGGGAAGAGAGGACAGAUAUACACCCAGCAUGAUACAUUUAAAUAAAAACCAA